rnacentral:rRNA from 1 species
GGGUUGUGAGGUUAAGCGACUAAGCGUACACGGUGGAUGCCCUGGCAGUCAGAGGCGAUGAAGGACGUGCUAAUCUGCGAUAAGCGUCGGUAAGGUGAUAUGAACCGUUAUAACCGGCGAUUUCCGAAUGGGGAAACCCAGUGUGAUUCGUCACACUAUCAUUAACUGAAUCCAUAGGUUAAUGAGGCGAACCGGGGGAACUGAAACAUCUAAGUACCCCGAGGAAAAGAAAUCAACCGAGAUUCCCCCAGUAGCGGCGAGCGAACGGGGAGCAGCCCAGAGCCUGAAUCAGUGUGUGUGUUAGUGGAAGCGUCUGGAAAGGCGCGCGAUACAGGGUGACAGCCCCGUACACAAAAAUGCACAUACUGUGAGCUCGAUGAGUAGGGCGGGACACGUGGUAUCCUGUCUGAAUAUGGGGGGACCAUCCUCCAAGGCUAAAUACUCCUGACUGACCGAUAGUGAACCAGUACCGUGAGGGAAAGGCGAAAAGAACCCCGGCGAGGGGAGUGAAAAAGAACCUGAAACCGUGUACGUACAAGCAGUGGGAGCACAGAGCAAUCUGUGUGACUGCGUACCUUUUGUAUAAUGGGUCAGCGACUUAUAUUCUGUAGCAAGGUUAACCGAAUAGGGGAGCCGAAGGGAAACCGAGUCUUAACUGGGCGUUAAGUUGCAGGGUAUAGACCCGAAACCCGGUGAUCUAGCCAUGGGCAGGUUGAAGGUUGGGUAACACUAACUGGAGGACCGAACCGACUAAUGUUGAAAAAUUAGCGGAUGACUUGUGGCUGGGGGUGAAAGGCCAAUCAAACCGGGAGAUAGCUGGUUCUCCCCGAAAGCUAUUUAGGUAGCGCCUCGUGAAUUCAUCUCCGGGGGUAGAGCACUGUUUCGGCAAGGGGGUCAUCCCGACUUACCAACCCGAUGCAAACUGCGAAUACCGGAGAAUGUUAUCACGGGAGACACACGGCGGGUGCUAACGUCCGUCGUGAAGAGGGAAACAACCCAGACCGCCAGCUAAGGUCCCAAAGUCAUGGUUAAGUGGGAAACGAUGUGGGAAGGCCCAGACAGCCAGGAUGUUGGCUUAGAAGCAGCCAUCAUUUAAAGAAAGCGUAAUAGCUCACUGGUCGAGUCGGCCUGCGCGGAAGAUGUAACGGGGCUAAACCAUGCACCGAAGCUGCGGCAGCGACGCUGAUGCGUUGUUGGGUAGGGGAGCGUUCUGUAAGCCUGUGAAGGUGUGCUGUGAGGCAUGCUGGAGGUAUCAGAAGUGCGAAUGCUGACAUAAGUAACGAUAAAGCGGGUGAAAAGCCCGCUCGCCGGAAGACCAAGGGUUCCUGUCCAACGUUAAUCGGGGCAGGGUGAGUCGACCCCUAAGGCGAGGCCGAAAGGCGUAGUCGAUGGGAAACAGGUUAAUAUUCCUGUACUUGGUGUUACUGCGAAGGGGGGACGGAGAAGGCUAUGUUGGCCGGGCGACGGUUGUCCCGGUUUAAGCGUGUAGGCUGGUUUUCCAGGCAAAUCCGGAAAAUCAAGGCUGAGGCGUGAUGACGAGGCACUACGGUGCUGAAGCAACAAAUGCCCUGCUUCCAGGAAAAGCCUCUAAGCAUCAGGUAACAUCAAAUCGUACCCCAAACCGACACAGGUGGUCAGGUAGAGAAUACCAAGGCGCUUGAGAGAACUCGGGUGAAGGAACUAGGCAAAAUGGUGCCGUAACUUCGGGAGAAGGCACGCUGAUAUGUAGGUGAAGUCCCUCGCGGAUGGAGCUGAAAUCAGUCGAAGAUACCAGCUGGCUGCAACUGUUUAUUAAAAACACAGCACUGUGCAAACACGAAAGUGGACGUAUACGGUGUGACGCCUGCCCGGUGCCGGAAGGUUAAUUGAUGGGGUCAGCGCAAGCGAAGCUCUUGAUCGAAGCCCCGGUAAACGGCGGCCGUAACUAUAACGGUCCUAAGGUAGCGAAAUUCCUUGUCGGGUAAGUUCCGACCUGCACGAAUGGCGUAAUGAUGGCCAGGCUGUCUCCACCCGAGACUCAGUGAAAUUGAACUCGCUGUGAAGAUGCAGUGUACCCGCGGCAAGACGGAAAGACCCCGUGAACCUUUACUAUAGCUUGACACUGAACAUUGAGCCUUGAUGUGUAGGAUAGGUGGGAGGCUUAGAAGUGUGGACGCCAGUCUGCAUGGAGCCGACCUUGAAAUACCACCCUUUAAUGUUUGAUGUUCUAACGUUGACCCGUAAUCCGGGUUGCGGACAGUGUCUGGUGGGUAGUUUGACUGGGGCGGUCUCCUCCUAAAGAGUAACGGAGGAGCACGAAGGUUGGCUAAUCCUGGUCGGACAUCAGGAGGUUAGUGCAAUGGCAUAAGCCAGCUUGACUGCGAGCGUGACGGCGCGAGCAGGUGCGAAAGCAGGUCAUAGUGAUCCGGUGGUUCUGAAUGGAAGGGCCAUCGCUCAACGGAUAAAAGGUACUCCGGGGAUAACAGGCUGAUACCGCCCAAGAGUUCAUAUCGACGGCGGUGUUUGGCACCUCGAUGUCGGCUCAUCACAUCCUGGGGCUGAAGUAGGUCCCAAGGGUAUGGCUGUUCGCCAUUUAAAGUGGUACGCGAGCUGGGUUUAGAACGUCGUGAGACAGUUCGGUCCCUAUCUGCCGUGGGCGCUGGAGAACUGAGGGGGGCUGCUCCUAGUACGAGAGGACCGGAGUGGACGCAUCACUGGUGUUCGGGUUGUCAUGCCAAUGGCACUGCCCGGUAGCUAAAUGCGGAAGAGAUAAGUGCUGAAAGCAUCUAAGCACGAAACUUGCCCCGAGAUGAGUUCUCCCUGACCCUUUAAGGGUCCUGAAGGAACGUUGAAGACGACGACGUUGAUAGGCCGGGUGUGUAAGCGCAGCGAUGCGUUGAGCUAACCGGUACUAAUGAACCGUGAGGCUUAACCUUACAACGCCGAAGGUGUUU